rnacentral:rRNA from 1 species
UACGAAGGGGGCUAGCGUUGCUCGGAAUCACUGGGCGUAAAGCGCACGUAGGCGGAUUGUUAAGUCAGGGGUGAAAUCCUGGAGCUCAACUCCAGAACUGCCUUUGAUACUGGCGAGUCUGAGUCCGGGAGAGGUGAGUGGAACUGCGAGUGUAGAGGUGAAAUUCGUAGAUAUUCGCAAGAACACCAGUGGCGAAGGCGGCUCACUGGCCCGGUACUGACGCUGAGGUGCGAAAGCGUGGGGAGCAAACAGG